AGCAGCCGCGGUAAUUCCAGCUCCAAUAGCGUAUAUUAAAGUUGUUGCAGUUAAAAAGCUCGUAGUUGAAUUUCGGGAUCAGUACGCUGGUCGUGCCUUUGGUAUGUACUGGUGUCACUGAUUCCUCCCUUCUGAAGAACCGUUAUGCCAUUUAUUUGGUGUGGCGGGGAAUCAGGACUGUUACUUUGAAAAAAUUAGAGUGUUUAAAGCAGGCUCGCGCUUGAAUACAUUAGCAUGGAAUAAUGAAAUAGGACGUUUGAUCUUAUUUUGUUGGUUUCUAGGAUCGACGUAAUGAUUAAUAGGGAUAGUUGGGGGCAUUAGUAUUCAAUUGUCAGAGGUGAAAUUCUUGGAUUUAUUGAAGACUAACUACUGCGAAAGCAUUUGCCAAGGAUGUUUUCAUUAAUCAAGAACGAAAGUUAGGGGAUCGAAGACGAUCAGAUACCGUCGUAGUCUUAACCAUAAACUGUGCCGACUAGGGAUCGGAUGAUGUUAAUUUUUAAUGA
rnacentral:rRNA from 1 species